UACGGGAGUGGCAAGCGUUAUCCGGAAUUAUUGGGCGUAAAGCGUCCGCAGGCGGCCCUUCAAGUCUGCUGUUAAAAAGUGGAGCUUAACUCCAUCAUGGCAGUGGAAACUGUUGGGCUUGAGUGUGGUAGGGGCAGAGGGAAUUCCCGGUGUAGCGGUGAAAUGCGUAGAUAUCGGGAAGAACACCAGUGGCGAAGGCGCUCUGCUGGGCCAUCACUGACGCUCAUGGACGAAAGCCAGGGGAGCGAAAGGG
rnacentral:rRNA from 2 species